AACGAACGCUGGCGGCAGGCUUAACACAUGCAAGUCGAACGCGUGUAGCAAUACACGAGUGGCGCACGGGUGAGUAACGCGUGGAUAUCUGCCUUUUGGUUCGGAAUAACCCCGGGAAACUGGGGCUAAUACCGGAUGGUUCCUUCGGGAUAAAGAUUUAUCGCCAAAAGAUGAGUCCGCGUACGAUUAGCUAGUUGGUGAGGUAAUGGCUCACCAAGGCGACGAUCGUUAGCUGGUCUGAGAGGACGAUCAGCCACACUGGGACUGAGACACGGCCCAGACUCCUCCGGGAGGCAGCAGUGGGGAAUAUUGGACAAUGGGGGCAACCUUGAUCCAGCCAUGCCGCGUGAGUGAUGAAGGCCUUCGGGUUGUAAAGCUCUUUUGGCGGGGACGAUGAUGACGGUACCCGCAGAAUAAGCCCCGGCUAACUUCGUGCCAGCCGCCGCCGUAAAAC
rnacentral:rRNA from 1 species